rfam:Ictidomys tridecemlineatus contig012322, whole genome shotgun sequence.
AGGGAUGUAGCUCAGUGGUAGAGCAUUGCCUAGAAUGCAUGAAGAACCUGGGUUUAAUCCCCAGUACCACAA